rnacentral:sRNA from 1 species
GGGGGUGUUUUGGUUUCGACGGGAGUUUAUGAAGGUAUGGUAAGCGAGCCGCGGCCCCUGAACCGCGUAACAACGGGGAAAAAAAUAACUGACAAUAGCGAUUUCGCUUUCGCGGCCUAAUGGCUGCGCGUUGGCCCUGAGCGCCCACUGCUCAGGUAACCAGCGUCAUUAAAGUGGGGAACGAGCGCACCAAAGCUUUGAGGCGCCGCCCGUAAAUAUGAAGCUACCGUAGCCGCCAGCCUGUCACGGGGCGUGUGGUGAGGGGAAUCCUAAAACCGUGAAUGCGCUCGGAGAAAACCAUAUCGGCGUGCUUUCGGACGGGGGUUCGAUUCCCCUCACCUCCACCA